ACUUUAUCAUACAACUUUCUAAAGAAAUCUAGCCAAGUUGUUAUAGAACUACAGAAAGUUCCAUAGGAAAAAUGAUUUCCAUAGGUGUUGAGUCAGUCACAGAAUUAACUGAUUUCCCUCUCUUUAUUCGUUUGGUUGUUUCCGGUUUACUUGAAUGGUCUUCUUUUAUUUUGCAAUCAUUUUCCUUUGGGUGAUUUUGGGCUUUUUUUUUUUCUUUUAUAAUUUUCUCUGGAUUUUUGAGAUUCGAUUUUUUGGGUUGACAGAUGUUCAGUAUGUAGCCUCUAAAUCUGUUUUGUAGUUGUCUCUCCCACUUUAUUUCUUUUCUCAACGAAGAAUUGGAAGGAGAUGGUGAGUAGGUUGCUUUUUCCUUCUCCUCACCAAGGAAGGUGCUUACAUGAGUUGCACAAUAGCAUUAGAGUAGAACCCCUUGAUGUGAAACAUAGUGCUAUUCCCACAUCAUCUAUAGCAGAACCUCUUUUUGAAUCAAGAAGAUCUCUAGGACAGGACGUCUCACCUGUUAUAGAGUCCAUCCCAUUGCAUGUAUCUCAGGUGGUUAUUGUGACCAGUCCACCAAGUCAAAGUCCCAGGUUUUUAGGUAGUUACUCAGGUGUCUGUACUGUGGAACCUAAUACAGCCCCUCUACCAAUGAGAGGAUAAGAGCCCCUAUGGUCAGUUUUCAAUACCACUGAAAGAGAAGUGGUAGACAUUGAGAGUAAUGUUUUUCCAUACUACAUUGGCGAACAUUGGUUAGUCCCUUGGAGGUGAAGCAACUAAUGAAAUAAAAUAAAACGUUCUUCUAAUCAGCUUCGACCAGAGCAGCUGAGUGUUAAUGGAUUUCCUUUUAAUCCUGAUAAGGCAGAGAAACUUUUGGGUGCCCUUUACUACCUCAGAAGUUGAACCUGGAAGCUAUUGCUAUGACAAUGCAUUUGAAUUUUUGGGAAAGGAAUGAGAGAUAUCAGAUAGAAUUGUGAGUUCAAACCUGAAGUUUACUGGGAAACUUUGUCCUUAUGCAAGCAACGGAACCACACAGGAUUAAUGUCUCUUUUAGUGCUGAAGGAAUCAAAGAAUUGAUACCACCAUAAAAAUUCGAAGAAUUGCACACUAUUUUUUGAGAAUGCAAUCUAGUUAAUGGCAAAGAU